rnacentral:rRNA from 1 species
CACGUAGGGGGCGAGCGUUGUCCGGAUUUAUUGGGCGUAAAGGGCUCGUAGGCGGCUCGGUAAGUCGGGUGUGAAAACUCUGGGCUCAACCCAGAGACGCCACCCGAUACUGCUGUGGCUUGAGUCCGGUAGGGGAGCGUGGAAUUCCUGGUGUAGCGGUGUAAUGCGCAGAUAUCAGGAGGAACACCAGCGGCUAAGGCGGUGCUCUGGGCCGGAACUGACGCUGAGGAGCGAAAGCGUGAGUAUCAAACAGG